rnacentral:rRNA from 1 species
GACGUAGGGCGCGAGCGUUGUCCGGAUUUAUUGGGCGUAAAGAGCUCGUAGGCGGCUUGUUGCGUCAGCUGUGAAAACCCGCAGCUCAACUGUGGGCUUGCAGCUGAUACGGGCAGGCUUGAGUUCGGUAGGGGAGACUGGAAUUCCUGGUGUAGCGGUGAAAUGCGCAGAUAUCAGGAGGAACACCGGUGGCGAAGGCGCACACCUGGCCCGAUACUGACGCUGAGGCGCGAAAGCUAGGGGGAGCAAACGGG